CCUGGAGAGAAACUCUGUGUAGAGAGACUUGGGAAAAGAAAAGAGGAAGAUAUUGAGGCACGUUUGGGUUUCAAGAUUUUCCAGAAUUCUGCUUCGCUCUGAGAUGCAUCCAUCUUGUCCAAACCACUGAAUCUUUUUUAUCUCAUGCCCUUUAGAGAGGAGAGUGGGGUGCACUGAAGGAAGCCAGAGCCCAUCCUUGGCUUUGGCAACUAAGGAGGCUGCCUCUGGGUCUAAGAUGCUCUCACCAAGCAAUCCUGCAACAACUCUGGAAGGUAGCAGUUCAGAGAAAGCUGGCCUCGGGACAAGCCUGAUUUAUUAAAGUAAAACCAGGAGACAAUGUAUUUGCAAGAUAGAAGCAUCUUCGAAGAGCAUCAUUGAAUACACGCUUUUACUGUAAGGAACAUCUACCAUCUAUUUCUAAAUGAAGGUUUCAUAAGAACCUGGUAAUUUA